GAAAUGCGAUAAGUAAUGUGAAUUGCAGAAUUCAGUGAAUCAUCGAAUCUUUGAACGCACAUUGCGCUCGCCAGUAUUCUGGCGAGCAUGCCUGUUCGAGCAUCAUUUCAACCAUCAAGCUCUGCUUGCGUUGGGGAUCCGCGGCUGCCCGCGGUCCCUCAAAAACAGUGGCGGGCUCGCUAGUCACACCGAGCGUAGUAACUCUACUUCGCUAUGGUCGUGCGGCGGGUUCUUGCCGUAAAACCCCCAAUUUCUAAGGUUGACCUCGGAUCAGGUAGGAAUACCCGCUGAACUUAAGC
rnacentral:misc_RNA from 1 species